rnacentral:tRNA from 1 species
AGCUGGGAGAGCAUCUGCCUUACAAGCAGAGGGUCGGCGGUUCGAACCCGUCAUCCUCCA